UAUCUUUCGUCCCUCUUUUAUACAGUUUAUCCGAUACUUGUGUAUAUAAUUUGUUGCUAGCUUGUGCCAAAAACAUUCCAAUUUUAACUUGAUUUGUAGUUCAAGUGGAAAUCUUCCAAGUUCCCCAUACACCAUAAUAUUUGGCGUAGACAAUCACACCCCAAAAUGCCCUUACAAAACUGUAGAUAUAUUUUUUUCAGUAUUAUUUUUAUUUUUAAACCCCCAUAUUUCCGAGGAGUAGGUCAAAAUAGUAGCCACCGAUGCAUCAAAUACAGUCUACCAUUUUUUUUUCGCGCUUAAGAGAAGUUUCCGUUGUAAUUACAUAGCAGACAAAGAUAAACAUAUGAAUCUUUAAUUUCAUAACAUAGUUUAAAAGGAACAUUCUUAUUAAUCUUUCUCUUUGAAAAAAUUACAAUCUUUGUUUUUGUUAGUAUAUACUUGUUAGCAUGUUUGAUGUAAAAAUGUAAAUAUAAUUUAACUGUAGAUAUAUUUUUUUUCAGUAUUAUUUUUAUUUUCAAACCCCAAUAUUUCCAAGGAGUAGGUCAAAAUAGUAACCACCAAUGCAUCAAAGACCAAGUCUACCAAUUUUUUUUUCGCGCUUAAGAGAAGUUUCCGUUGUUAUUACAUACCAGACAAAGAUAAACAUAUGAAUCUUUAAUUUCAAUAAUUUCAUUAUAGUUUAACAUUCUUAUGAAACUUUCUCUUUGAAAAAAUUACAAUCUUUGUUUUUGUUAGUGUAUAGUUUGAUGUAAAACUGUAGAUAUAUUUUUUUUCAGUAUUAUUUUUAUUUUCAAACCCCCAUAUUUCUGAGGAGUAGGUCAAAAUAACCACCAAUGCAUCAAAUACAGUCUACCACUUUUUUUUCGAGCUUAAUAGAGAUAGUCACUUUAAUU
rnacentral:lncRNA from 1 species